AUGCGUCAAGUACAGGAGCUGCUCGACAAAGGUUAUAUACGCGAAUCUCUUAGUCCUUGUGCUGUUCCUAUUAUACUCGUGCCUAAAAAGGAUGGUACGUCGCGUAUGUGUGUUGAUUGUAGAGGCAUUAAUAAUAUUACUAUUCGUUAUCGUCAUCCUAUUCCUAGGCUCGAUGAUAUGCUUGAUGAAUUGAGUGGCUCUACAAUAUUCUCCAAAGUUGAUUUGCGUAGUGGAUACCAUCAAAUUCGUAUGAAAUUGGGAGAUGAAUGGAAAACUGCAUUUAAAACUAAGUUUGGUUUAUAUGAGUGGUUAGUCAUGCCUUUUGGGUUAACUAAUGCACCUAGUACUUUCAUGAGACUAAUGAACGAAGUUUUACGUGCUUUCAUUGGACGAUUUGUGGUGGUCUAUUUUGAUGAUAUACUGAUUUAUAGCAAAUCUUUGGAAGAACAUUUGGAACAUUUACGUGCUGUUUUUAUUGCUCUACGUGAUGCACGUUUGUUUGGUAACCUUGGGAAGUGCACCUUUUGCACCGACCGAGUAUCUUUUCUUGGCUAUGUUGUUACUCCACAGGGAAUUGAAGUUGAUACAGCCAAAAUUGAAGCUAUUGAGAGUUGGCCGCAGCCCAAAACGGUCACACAAGUGCGGAGUUUUCUUGGACUCGCUGGUUUCUAUAGGCGUUUUGUGAGAGAUUUUAGCACCAUUGCUGCACCUCUCAACGAGCUUACAAAGAAGGAUGUGCCUUUUGUUUGGGGUACCGCACAGGAAGAAGCCUUCACGGUAUUGAAAGAUAAGUUGACACAUGCUCCUUUACUCCAACUUCCUGAUUUUAAUAAGACUUUUGAGCUUGAAUGUGAUGCUAGUGGCAUUGGAUUAGGAGGUGUGUUAUUACAAGAUGGCAAACCUGUUGCAUACUUUUCUGAAAAAUUGAGUGGGCCUAGUCUGAAUUAUUCUACUUAUGAUAAAGAACUAUAUGCUCUUGUUCGGACUUUAGAAACAUGGCAACAUUAUUUAUGGCCCAAAGAAUUUGUUAUACAUUCUGAUCAUGAAUCUUUGAAACAUAUUAAAAGUCAAGCUAAACUGAAUCGUAGACACGCUAAAUGGGUUGAAUUCAUUGAAACUUUCCCUUAUGUCAUUAAACACAAGAAGGGUAAAGAAAAUGUUAUUGCUGAUGCAUUGUCUCGUCGCUAUACUAUGCUUUCACAACUUGACUUCAAAAUAUUUGGUUUGGAGACCAUCAAAGAUCAAUAUGUGCAUGAUGCUGAUUUUAAAGAUGUAUUGCAAAAUUGUAAAGAAGGAAGAACCUGGAACAAGUUUGUCGUUAAUGAUGGAUUUGUGUUCCGUGCUAACAAGCUAUGCAUUCCAGCUAGCUCUCUUCGUCUUUUGUUGUUGCAGGAGGCGCAUGGCGGAGGAUUAAUGGGACACUUUGGCGUGAAGAAGACGGAGGACGUACUUGCUACACAUUUCUUUUGGCCAAAGAUGAGACGGGAUGUUGAGCGUUUUGUUGCUCGCUGCACUACAUGUCAAAAAGCUAAGUCACGACUCAAUCCUCAUGGUUUAUAUAUGCCUUUGCCUGUACCUAGUGUUCCUUGGGAGGAUAUAUCUAUGGACUUUGUUUUAGGUUUACCUCGAACAAAGAAGGGGAGGGAUAGCAUAUUUGUUGUCGUGGAUAGAUUCUCGAAAAUGGCGCACUUUAUACCAUGUCAUAAAAGCGAUGAUGCUGUUAAUGUUGCUGAUUUGUUCUUUCGUGAAAUUAUUCGCUUGCAUGGUGUGCCAAAUACUAUUGUUUCAGAUCGUGAUACUAAAUUUCUUAGCCACUUUUGGAGAUGUUUAUGGGCUAAGUUGGGGACUAAACUGCUUUUUAGUACUACUUGUCACCCCCAAACAGAUGGACAAACUGAAGUAGUCAAUAGAACAUUGUCUACUAUGCUUAGGGCUGUUUUGAAGAAUAAUAAGAAAAUGUGGGAAGACUGCUUGCCUCAUAUUGAGUUUGCUUAUAAUCGUUCAUUGCAUUCUACUACUAAGAUGUGCCCUUUUGAAAUUGUGUAUGGUUUCCUACCUCGUGCACCUAUUGAUUUGUUGCCUCUUCCAUCUUCGGAGAAGGUUAAUUUUGAUGCUAAACAACGUGCUGAAUUGAUCUUAAAAAUGCAUGAGUUAACUAAGGAAAACAUUGAGCGUAUGAAUGCUAAAUAUAAACUUGCUGGAGAUAAGGGUAGAAAACAUGUUGUGUUUGCACCUGGAGAUCUUGUUUGGUUACAUUUGCGUAAGGAUAGAUUUCCUGAUUUGCGCAAAUCAAAGCUAAUGCCACGUGCUGAUGGUCCUUUUAAGGUGUUAGAGAAAAUAAAUGAUAAUGCAUAUAAACUUGAGCUGCCUGCAGAUUUUGGGGUUAGUCCCACUUUUAAUAUUGCAGAUUUGAAGCCUUAUUUGGGUGAGGAAGAU
rnacentral:rRNA from 1 species